rnacentral:rRNA from 1 species
UGAAUCUGGUCUUGGGACACUGUCAGGUGGGCAGUUUGACUGGGGCGGUCGCCUCCCAAAAGGUAACGGAGGCGCUCAAAGGUUCUCUCAGUACGGUCGGAAAUCGUACGUAGAGUGUAAAGGCAAAAGAGAGCUUGAUUGCAAGACAUACAGGUCGAGCAAGGAUGAAAAUCGGACUUAGUGAUCCGGUGGUUCUGCGUGGAAGGGCCAUCGCUCAACGGAUAAAAGCUACCCUGGGGAUAACAGGCUUAUCUCCCCCAAGAGUCCACAUCGACGGGGAGGUUUGGCACCUCGAUGUCGGCUCAUCACAUCCUGGGGCUGUAGUAGGUCCCAAGGGUUGGGCUGUUCGCCCAUUAAAGUGGUACGCGAGCUGGGUUCAGAACGUCGUGAGACAGUUCGGUCCCUAUCCGUCGCAGGCGUAGGAAAUUUGAGAAGACCUGUCCUUAGUACGAGAGGACCGGGAUGGACG